rnacentral:rRNA from 1 species
UACAGAGGUCCCAAGCGUUGUUCGGAUUCACUUGGGCGUAAAGGGUGCGUAGGCGGUCGGGUAAGUCUGACGUGAAAUCUUCAAGCUCAACUUGGAAACUGCGUCCGAUACUAUUCGGCUAGAGGAAUGGAGGGGAGACUGGAAUACUUGGUGUAGCAGUGAAAUGCGUAGAUAUCAAGUGGAACACCAGUGGCGAAGGCGAGUCUCUGGACAUUUCCUGACGCUGAGGCACGAAAGCCAGGGAGCAAACGGG